UCCGGCCCUUGUGAUUGCAUGUUCCCAGGUUGAGGUAGUAGGUUGUAUGGUUUAGAAUUACAUCAAGGGAGAUAACUGUACAGCCUCCUAGCUUUCCUUGGGUCUUGCGCAAAGCAACGUGGCGAAACCGAUCAUGAUUCCUCCCGGCCU
rnacentral:miRNA from 1 species